rnacentral:rRNA from 1 species
GGUGCAGUCGCCGCGGUGUGCCGUGAUCAUACUGGGACGUACCUUGGAUCCUCCGCGGUGGUAUACAAUGGGAUUAGAGAUCCAACUAUCCUGGAAACUUAUGCAUGCAGGGAAGCUUUGGCUUUGGCGGAUGAUCUUCUCGAGCGGAGGCUAAAGGUGGCAUCGGACUGCCUGGGAGUGGUGAAUGAUAUUAACAAGGGCACGGGAGAAGCCCAUGCUGCCAUCGUUCAUGAAAUAACAAGUCAUAGUAAUAGUUUUGCUUUCUGUGCUUUUGUUCAUGAGUCCAGAAACCACAACUUCGAGGCUCAUAACGUCGCGAAGUUUGCUUGUAAUCUGAGUGUAGGUAGACACGCAUGGCUGGGUAAUCCUCAUGACCUUGUACGUGUGCCUAUGAACAUCCUUGAGUAA